rnacentral:siRNA from 1 species
AAGUGAGGACAGGUAGUAGCU